rnacentral:rRNA from 1 species
UGGGGAAUUUUGGACGAAUUGGGCGAAAGCCUGAUCCAGCAAUGCCGCGUGUGUGAAGAAGGCCUUCGGGUUGUAAAGCACUUUUGUCCGGAAAGAAAUCCUUGGCUCUAAUACAGUCGGGGGAGUGACGGUACCGGAAGAAUAAGCACCGGCUAACUACGUGCCAGCAGCCGCGGUAAUACGUAGGGUGCAAGCGUUAAUCGGAAUUACUGGGCGUAAAGCGUGCGCAGGCGGUUUGCUAAGACCGAUGUGAAAUCCCCGGGCGUCAACCUGGGAACUGGCAUUGGUGAUCUGGCAGGCUAGAGUAUGGCAGAGGGGGGUGAGAAUUCCACGUGUAGCAGUGAAAUGCGUAGAGAUGUGGAGGAAUACCGAUGGCGAAGGCAG